rnacentral:misc_RNA from 1 species
UUAAGUUCAGCGGGUCUUCCUACCUGAUCCGAGGUCAACCAUAGAAAAUUGGGGGGUUGUUGGCCAGCAUCCACCGGGACCCUAUAGCGAGAGAAAUUACUACGCUUAGAGCCAGAUGCGCCGCCACUGAUUUAAGGGCUGCCAGUUGGCAGGCCCCAACACCAAGCUGAGCUUGAGGGGUUACUAAUGACGCUCGAACA